UACGUAGGUGGCAAGCGUUGUCCGGAAUUAUUGGGCGUAAAGGGCUCGUAGGCGGUCCGUCACGUCGGGAGUGAAAACUUGGGGCUUAACCCCAAGCCUGCUUCCGAUACGGGCGGACUAGAGGUAGGCAGGGGAGAACGGAAUUCCUGGUGUAGCGGUGAAAUGCGCAGAUAUCAGGAGGAACACCGGUGGCGAAGGCGAUUCUCUGGGCCGAUACUGACGCUGAGGAGCGAAAGCGUGGGGAGCGAACAGG
rnacentral:rRNA from 1 species